AGCCCUCUCCCCACCCAGAAUCUCGUCUCUGCCCCUGCCCCGUCCCUAUCCCGUCCACCUCCCGCGAUGUUAUUGCCGCCCCUGGGGCUGUCUCCUUCCCUUUUCCAAUAGAUGACCCCCGGGGAGCGGCCUUUGUGUUUCCCUGUCC